AUUAAAAGAAGAAAAUGCCUAAAAUCACCUCAAUAUGUGCAUGUGAAUAUCAAGUAGAAACAAGCGUCAAGUCAAGUUCUAGAGUGCAAGUAAUCAAGAGUGCAAUCACACAAGAAAAAGAUUAGAGAUGGCAUACAGUUGACCACCUACAGUUAAGGCUCAAAAACUCUCACAGGGGAAUUAAGUCUAUCAUAAUUGUUUCAACCCCUCAAUUUUCAAAAGUAACUUGACAACAAGAACGCAUGGAUUCACAUCACAAGAUAUCAUGACUCAGUUCAAAGAAAGAAAAUGCUCAUAAUCUAAACAAGACCUAAGAAUUCAAAGAGAAGCAUGCAUCAAUUUAUUCAUCUAAUUUAUUCUACCUAAGCUAAUCUCCCCCCCACACUUAAACUACACAUUGUCCCAAUGAAGCAUAACAAAUAGGGAAUUGAACAAGUGCAAUAAAAGUAAAGAAGGAGAAAGAAAACUCCCUGAUUCAUGGCGGGAGGAGGGCGGAAAUAACCAAGGAAACAUUUUCCAUGGUAACAUCCACAAGAGAAGGAUUGGUGAGGAAAUGCUUGAGGCGGUGACCAUUAACUUUGAAGCUCUUAUCUGUGGAUUCACUUUUGAUCUCUACAGUACCAUAAGGAAACACAUUAGUAACAACAGAAGGACCAAUCCACUUAGAACGAAGCUUACCGCUCAUUAGGCCAAGCCUAGAGUUGUACAACAACACGUGUUGUCCAACCAAAAAGUCUUUUCUGGAAAUCAAGCUAUCAUGGAAUAUUUUGGUCUUCUCUUUGUAGAACUUAGAGUUCUCAUAGGCUUCCAAGCGGAUCUCGUCUAACUCACUCAAUUGAAGCUUCCUUUCGCCACCAGCUUGAUCAAGAGCCAAGUUGCAAGUCUUCACAGCCCAAUAAGCCCGAUGCUCGAUCUCAACUGGAAGAUGACAUGCCUUACCAAAAACAACGCGAUAAGGAGACAUUCCGAUGGGUGCUUUGUAAGCAGUACGAUGGGCCCAAAGAGCAUCCUCAAGUCUAUUGCUCCAAUCCUUCCUGUUAGGCUGGACAGUCUUCUCCAAAAUCCUCUUUAUCUCUCUGUUGGAAUUCUCAGCUUGCCCAUUUGUUUGAGGAUGGUAUGGUGUGGAAAUUUUAUGAACAACCCCAUAUUUCUUGAGAAGAGCUUGCAUGGACCUAUUGCAGAAGUGGGUGCCUUGGUCACUAAUGAUUGCUCUAGGAAUGCCAAACCUGCAAAAGAUGUUAGACCUAACAAAAUCCACAACAACUAGAGAAUCAUUAGUCCGGGUGGCCUUAGCUUCCACCCAUUUAUAAACAUAAUCAACAGCAAGCAAAAUAUAAUAAAAACCAAAAGAAACAGGAAAAGGACCCAUAAAAUCGAUACCCCAGACAUCAAAGACCUCACAAAACAACAUGGGUUGUUGAGGCAUAUCUUUUCUCCAAGAAAUGGUACCGCCUGCUCUCUGACAUGGCUCACAGGUGCUGCAAAUCCUUGACGCAUCUUUGAAGAUGGUGGGCCAGUAAAAUCCAGAAUCAAGCACCUUGCGUGCUGUCCUUUGGGGUCCAAAGUGACCACCCACUGCAGAAGCAUGGCAAAACUGAAGGACUGACUCAAUCUCAUGAUCUGGAAUGCACCUCCUAAUAACCUGGUCAGUACAAAACUUCCACAAAUAGGGGUCAUCCCAACAAUAAUAUUUAGCAUCACUCUUGAGCUUAGCAAUCUGAGCUCGAGAAGCAAAUGGAGGGAAAACAGAAGCAACUAAAUAAUUAACAAUAUUAGCAAACCAGGGUGCUGGAAAAGAAACUGAAAUAUUAAAGAGCCGCUCAUCCGGAAAGUCAUCUCUAAUGGGUAGAGUAUCAGCAGCCCUCUCUAUCCGACUCAAGUGAUCGGCCACCAAAUUCUGUGCUCCACUUCUAUCUCUAAUCUCCAAGUCAAACUCUUGGAGCAAGAGCAUCCAUCGGAUCACCUAGGUUUUGAUUCAGCCUUCUUCAACAGGAACUUUAGAGCUGCAUGGUCAGUGUAAACAAUAAUCCUAGAACCUAGCAAAUAUGAUCUGAAUUUAUCUAGAGCAAACACAAUAGCUAGAAGUUCUUUUUCAGUGGUUGUGUAAUUCGCUUGUGCAGAAUCUAAAGUCCUGGAAGCAUAAUAUAUUACCCUAGGUAACUUAUCCACUUUUUGAGCAAGGACAGCACCCAAUGCGUAAUUAGAGGCAUCGCACAUGAGCUCAAAAGGGGCUGUCCAAUCAGGUGCCUGAAUGAUAGGAGUGGUGGUCAAGGCUUUCUUUAGGCAAUCGAACGCCUCUCUGCAUUCCUCAUCAAAAUCANAUGCCACGUCCUUUUGCAGCAAGUUAGAGAGAGGAAGGGCUUUCUUGCUGAAAUCCUGAAUGAACCUGCGAUAAAAACCUGCAUGGCCAAGAAAAGACCGCACCUCUCACNNNNNNNNNNNNNNNNNNNNNNNNNNNNNNNNNNNNNNNNNNNNNNNNNNNNNNNNNNNNNNNNNNNNNNNNNNNNNNNNNNNNNNNNNNNNNNNNNNNNAGUAGAAACAAGCGUCAAGUCAAGUUCUAGAGUGCAAGUAAUCAAGAGUGCAUUCACACAAGAAAAAGAUUAGAGAUGGCAUACAGUUGACCACCUACAGUUAAGGCUCAAAAACUCUCACAGGGGAAUUAAGUCUAUCAUAAUUGUUUCAACCCCUCAAUUUUCAAAAGUAACUUGACAACAAGAACGCAUGGAUUCACAUCACAAGAUAUCAUGACUCAGUUCAAAGAAAGAAAAUGCCCAUAAUCUAAA
rnacentral:lncRNA from 1 species